rnacentral:piRNA from 1 species
CGAAAUGAUGGAGAGUCCGCCCUUGC